rnacentral:lncRNA from 1 species
AGCACUUAAUAAAUGAUGAUGAAUGUCAGCUAUUGAAAUCCACGCAGCCAGCAAACUCUGACUAUGUAUUUAUUCUCACGGUGCCAGUUACUCUCGAAGACUCUAAGGAAACAUAAAAAUAUUGCCUAGGACAGAGUCCAAGGCCUUCCCUGUCCAGAGGGGAGAAGCCAACGUGAACAAAAGCCCUCCAGCAUCCUUAUCCAAAGUCCUCCAACCAAACAGGCUUGGGUUUAAAGGUUUCUGACUUCAUACAGGUAACAGGUGGGUGUACUAUACAGUGCCUAUCCCCCACCUCUACCCCAGGGCCUGGAUUAGCACCUGUGAUCAAACGUAUGGGUAUUUCUUCGGCAAAAUCCAUGCAUAGGCACACUGAAUGGGAUCAAGAAACACUAGAGAGCCUCAAGAUAGCUGGGGAGACGGGCUCAGGAACACACACCUGCAAUUCCAGUGACUCAGAAGGCUGAGGCGGGAGGAUCAGAAGUCUGAGGCCAACCUUGGCAACUUAGUGAGAUUCUGUCUUAAACUAAAAAGUAAAAAGGACUCAGGGAUGAAGGGCCCCUAGGUUCAAUCCCCAGCACCGAAAACCAAAACAAAUCAAGACAGCACAGGUCGGAAACCACCCCAGCUGCCAGGCCUCCGCCAAGUGACUUACAAACAAAACAAAACAAAAACCCCACAACAACAUCCUGGUGGUUGGCAGAAGGGAAGAGAUGUCCAGGUGGGAAACUAGUCCAGUGGCCAGGGAAAAGAGGAUGGUGACGCCAAUGUAGGCAGCCGAGGAGGUAAGAACCAAGCGACAGCCACCACCCCAACACAGCCCAGGGCGUGCAGCCCCUCUUGUAGGAGUCUUUUCGAGAGGUCUGGUGCAUCGAAGGACAAAGUGAUUAUUUUAACAGCACGAGAACAGACACAGGGCCAAGGAGGGUGCCUGGCAGAAACCAGAGAAGGAGGAGGAGGUCUAAGCUGGAAUGGAGUUGGACUCCCCAGUUCAUGAGGAGGCUCUACAACCAUCUUUUCUGAAGUGAUUGGGGUUCGGGAUGUAGCUCAUGGUAGAGUAAAAGCUUUACGUGUCCAAGGCCCUGGGUUCUUCUAUCCCCAGCACCACAGAAAAACAAAGACCAGGGGAAAAAAAAAAAACUGACAAACUGCAACAAACACUAGUUUUGUUUUAGAUGGCAAGACAGCACCAGUGCCCAAGGGCCAGGAGAAGUGUCCACUUGGGAGACUGUGGCAGCAGCUUCAGCCAUGUCACCUGCCAGUUCCUCCAAGAAGAGCCAAGAGCUAAGGACACAUGGACAAAUGCACAGCUGGACUGACAGGGGACAGAGGGGACCAUCACUGAAGGGGGCAGUGUAUGACCAGCAGGACCAUUUAGCAACUCAAAGACCCCCACCAGCCACCCCAGCUGCCAGGCCUCAGACUCUUCCCACAAAAUCUCCUGCUCCAUAGGGACAGGCAUGGCCUAUUCCCCUCCCUAUCAUCAUCUAACAACAUCCUGAUCAUAAGGGCUCAGAAAUAAUUACCUGGUGAAUUGAGCCAUCACCAAAAAGAAAACCAUCUCACAAGAACCCAUGGGCAGAGAGCUCCUCAUAGAUAGAACCAAUGAGGGCAGCAAGGAAACGACAGAUCCCUGCAAGAGCUCAAGACCCACCAGCCCUUCCUGGUUAGCAAGCACUUCUGCAAAGACCAAAAGGUCUCUUUGGACCCCGAUGGGCAGAUGGCUCAUGUGUCCCCGGCUCCACCUGUCCUGAUGACUAGGGAGAAGUCCUCCCAGAGAUGCCACAGAACACUAGCUUAAGACACUGUCCCUCUACACAGCUGGACGGCACAACCAUUCUGGGAGCCCAAACCUGCCACUGUCAGGGAAGCGGGGACACCUGUCGUGAGCAGGGAAGGCGGCAGGGACAGCAGAGAAGGCCUCCGCUGGCAUGGUGAACUUGGGUCUUAGGGCGCCUCCUCCAAGUGUACAGCUGGCCUCUGCGUGUUCCCAGGCAGUCACUGAGCUCAGCCACUCUUAGGAGCAGGGAAAACCCAAACUGUAUCCCAGAAGUCCACGGGAAAAGCAACACUCGCACUCAAAACCGAAAAGAGUCCCUCCCUCCCACGUUUUUCUCUUCGGCUUUCCUACAGGAUUUAGGACCUGGAGCUCUGCAGAAUCCGUGCGUGGAGAUCGGAUGAGGGAGCAGACCUACAUCUGACACAAGGAGGUGAUGCUGAGGGGAAAAUCUUGGGGUCACCUGCUUUUUUUUUAAAUUUUCCAACUUCGAAUUAUGGGCAUUUGCAAGCUUUCACAAAAGUAAAGAGACGACUACAACGAACCCCCAGUGCCCAUCACCCAGGGUCACUCAUUGCGAACCCAAGGCCCAUCUUAUGUCGAUCAUACACGCACACCCACGCUGUAUUAUUCCACUCAUCAGCUGAGUUUUCACAAUCAACACAACACAAAACUCACGGGGGCCUCUGCUUCGGGCCUCGUGUUUUUACCUGGGAGCCCUCCAGAUGUCAGAAUCAUCCAUAGACCUGCAACCACCACAACGGGGUUUUCUGGCUGGAACACAGUGGGUAGGCAGAGAAGAGGAGGCACAGACUGGGGACGGGGGCUCCUCAGACUUGUUCUGCACACAGCACUUUUACUGGUGGUGCUGGGGAUGGAACCCAGGGCCUAAGCGCUUCUCGGCUGAGCUACCGCCCCAGAGAUCCUCCCUGGUCAGCAAAGUCCUGCAGCGGCAGCACUCGCUCCAACAGCCAAUCCCAAACCCAAGAGCCCGCGGUGGAGCCGCCAGCCCGGCAAGGGAACGUACACGGU